rfam:Halanaerobium hydrogeniformans chromosome, complete genome.
GAAAAGAAAAUAACUUAUCCGAAGACAGCAGGGGCAUAAUGCUUAAAUUUCCUGCCGAGGUGAAGACUUCUGCAAAUUAUUUUUGCACUUAUACCUCCUGCCUGUCGACAGGAGGUUUUUUAUUUGCCAGA